rnacentral:rRNA from 1 species
UACGUAGGGUGCAAGCGUUAAUCGGAAUUACUGGGCGUAAAGCGUGCGCAGGCGGUGAUGUAAGACAGAUGUGAAAUCCCCGGGCUCAACCUGGGAACUGCAUUGUGACUGCAUCGCUGGAGUGCGGCAGAGGGGGAUGGAAUUCCGCGUGUAGCAGUGAAAUGCGUAGAUAUGCGGAGGAACACCGAUGGCGAAGGCAAUCCCCUGGGCCUGCACUGACGCUCAUGCACGAAAGCGUGGGGAGCAACAGG